UUUGCGCGACCCGAGUAAGAAUCUUCCACAAUGGACGAAAGUCUGAUGGAGCAACGCCGCGUGAGUGAUGAAGGUUUUCGGAUCGUAAAACUCUGUUGUUAAAGAAGAACAAGUGUUAGAGUAACUGUUAACACUUUGACGGUAUUUAACCAGAAAGCCACGGCUAACUACGUGCCAGCAGCCGCGGUAAUACGUAGGUGGCAAGCGUUGUCCGGAUUUAUUGGGCGUAAAGCGAGCGCAGGCGGUUUUGUAAGUCUGCUGUGAAAGCCCUCAGCUCAACUGAGGAAGUGCAGUGGAAACUACAAAACUUGAGUACAGAAGAGGAAAGUGGAACUCCAUGUGUAGCGGUGAAAUGCGUAGAUAUAUGGAAGAACACCAGUGGCGAAGGCGGCUUUCUGGUCUGUUACUGACGCUGAGGCUCGAAAGCAUGGGUAGCGAACAGGAUUAGAUACCCUGGUAGUCCAUGCCGUAAACGAUGAAUACUAGGUGUUGGAGGGUUUCCGCCCUUCAGUGCCGCAGCUAACGCAUUAAGUAUUCCGCCUGGGGAGUACGACCGCAAGGUUGAAACUCAAAGGAAUUGACGGGGGCCCGCACAAGUGGUGGAGCAUGUGGUUUAAUUCGAUGCUACGCGAAGAACCUUACCAGCUCUUGACAUCUUCUGCCAACCCAAGAGAUUGGGCGUUCCCUUCGGGGACAGAAUGACAGGUGGUGCAUGGUGUCGUCCACAAUUUGUAUC
rnacentral:rRNA from 2 species